rnacentral:rRNA from 1 species
GAUGAACGCUGGCGGCGUGCUUAACACAUGCAAGUCGAACGAUUAAAGCCCCUUCGGGGGUGUAUAAAGUGGCGAACGGGUGAGUAACACGUGGGCAAUCUGACCCUCACUUCGGGAUAACUCAGGGAAACUUGAGCUAAUACCGGAUACUCCGAACUGAUCGCAUGGUCGGUUCGGGAAAGCUCCGACGGUGAGGGAUGAGCCCGCGGCCCAUUAGCUUGUUGGUAGGGUAAGGGCCUACCAAGGCGACGAUGGGUAGCCGAGCUGAGAGGCUGAUCGGCCACACUGGGACUGAGACACGGCCCAGACUCCUACGGGAGGCAGCAGUGGGGAAUUUUGCGCAAUGGGCGAAAGCCUGAUCCAGCCAUGCCGCGUGCAGGAUGAAGGCCUUCGGGUUGUAAACUGCUUUUGUACGGAACGAAAAGACUCUUUCUAAUAAAGAGAGUCCAUGACGGUACCGUAAGAAUAAGCACCGGCUAACUACGUGCCAGCCGCCGCUGUAA